CCGAGUGUCGGGCCCUCCUGGGUCCACCCUCCCACCCGUGUCUACCGUCCCUUGUUGCUUCGGCGGGCCCGCCCUCUGGGGCGGCCGGGGGGCCCUCGCGCCCCCGGGUUCGCGCCCGCCGGAGACGUCCACGCGAACACUGUGUCAAGGUUGCCGUCUGAGUGGAUUUAUCCAAUCGUUA
rnacentral:misc_RNA from 1 species